rnacentral:rRNA from 1 species
AUCGAACGCUGGCGGCAGGCCUAACACAUGCAAGUCGAGCGGAUGAAGGGAGCUUGCUCCUGGAUUCAGCGGCGGACGGGUGAGUAAUGCCUAGGAAUCUGCCUGGUAGUGGGGGAUAACGUCCGGAAACGGGCGCUAAUACCGCAUACGUCCUGAGGGAGAAAGUGGGGGAUCUUCGGACCUCACGCCAACAGAUGAGCCUAGGUCGGAUUAGCUAGUUGGUGGGGUAAAGGCCUACCAAGGCGACGACCCGUAACUGGUCUGAGAGGAUGAUCAGUCACACUGGAACUGAGACUCGGUCCAGACUCCUACGGUAGGCAGCAGUGGGGAAUAUUGGACAAGGGGCGAAAGCCUAAUCCAGCCAUGCCGGGUGUGUGAAGAAGGUCUUCUGAUUGUAAAGCACUUUAAGUUGGGAGGAAGGGCAGUAAGUUAAUACCUUACUGUUUUGACGUUACCAACAGAAUAAGCACCGGCUAACUUCGUG